rnacentral:sRNA from 1 species
UAAAAUCAGCAUAGCCCCUGCUCAAGGAUGAUACACACAUUCAUGAAGCAUUCCAUACUGAA